rnacentral:tRNA from 1 species
UCGGGGCAUGGCGCAGUUGGUUUAGCGCGCCUGGUUUGGGACCAGGAGGUCGCUGGUUCAAGUCCAGCUGCCCCGACCAG